AGAGUUUGAUCCUGGCUCAGAACGUACGCUGGCGGCACGCCUAACACAUGCAAGUCGAACGAAGUAGCAAUACUUAGUGGCAGACGGGUGAGUAACAUGUAGGUAUCUGCCCUUUGGCCUGGAAUAACACGAGGAAACUUGUGCUAAUACCGGAUAAGUCUUUACGGAGAAAGCUUUAUGCACCAUUGGAUGAGCCUGCACUUGAUUAGUUUGUUGGUGGGGUAAUGGCCUACCAAGACUGUGAUCAAUAGCUGAUUUGAGAGGAUGAUCAGCCACAUUGGGACUGAGACACGGCCCAAACUCCUACGGGAGGCAGCAGUGGGGAAUCUUGCACAAUGGAGGAAACUCUGAUGCAGCGAUGCCGCGUGAGUGAAGAAGGCCUUUGGGUUGUAAAGCUCUUUCGUCGGGGAAGAAAAUGACUGUACCCGAAUAAGAAGGUCCGGCUAACUUCGUGCCAGCAGCCGCGGUAAUACGAAGGGACCUAGCGUAGUUCGGAAUUACUGGGCUUAAAGAGUUCGUAGGUGGUUGAAAAAGUUAGUGGUGAAAUCCCAGAGCUUAACUCUGGAACUGCCAUUAAAACUUUUCAGCUAGAGUAUGAUAGAGGAAAGCAGAAUUUCUAGUGUAGAGGUGAAAUUCGUAGAUAUUAGAAAGAAUACCAAUUGCGAAGGCAGCUUUCUGGAUCAUUACUGACACUGAGGAACGAAAGCAUGGGUAGCGAAGAGGAUUAGAUACCCUCGUAGUCCAUGCCGUAAACGAUGUGUGUUAGACGUUGGAAAUUUAUUUUCAGUGUCGCAGGGAAACCGAUAAACACACCGCCUGGGGAGUACGACCGCAAGGUUAAAACUCAAAUGAAUUGACGGGGACCCGCACAAGUAGUGGAGCAUGUGGUUUAAUUCGAAGAUACGCGCAGAACCUUACCAACACUUGACAUGUUCGUCGCGACUCUAAGAGAUUAGAGUUUUCGGUUCGGCCGGACGAAACACAGGUGCUGCAUGGCUGUCGUCAGCUCGUGUCGUGAGAUGUUGGGUUAAGUCCCGCAACGAGCGCAACCCUCACUUUUAGUUGCCAUCAUUAAGUUGGGCACUCUGAAAGAACUGCCAGUGAUAAGCUGGAGGAAGGUGGGGAUGACGUCAAGUCCUCAUGGCCCUUACGUGUUGGGCUACACACGUGCUACAAUGGUAUCUACAACAGGAAGCAAGACUGCGAAGUUAAGCAAAUCCCUAAAAGAUACCUCAGUUCGGAUUGCACUCUGCAACUCGAGUGCAUGAAGCUGGAAU
rnacentral:rRNA from 1 species